CAUCCCAAUAGAAUCUUAGAUGGGGAUAGUUGAUCAGGCAUUGGUAAAAUUUUAUAAAUGACAUUCAAUACCUGUAGCCAAUAGCUCUUAAUAAGUUUGCACUCCCACCAUAUAUGUUCCAUAUUCGCCCCCCUCUCACCACAUCUCCAACAGCCAUCUGAGGCUGGUAAACCAUAUUUUCUAAGUCGAUCUGGAGUAUUGUACCAUCUAGUAACUCUU